AUCGCAGGUUCUCUGCUGGGUAUGAUUCCUCGUUCUAGUCACAACUACGACGAGCUCAAAGAACGGCUGUAUUACGAUGCCCAUGCAUCUAAUAAAUUUAGUAUAUCAAAAAUCUAAUGCAUGUAGAUUUUUCGAAUGUUUGUGAAGGAUAAACAGGUUCAGGUCGAUGGGAACUUGAAGGCAUCAAUUUGUGUGGGCAAUUAAUAGAUACUUUAGUGGGCUCAUGAGCUGUGGUAUAAAACUUUCGCAUGUGCUGCACAACUCUCGUCUUUCUCAAAUUACCCACCACCGUAUCGAGCUUCCUUUCAAAGCCGAGUCUUUUCGGCCUUGAAUUAUCCCUUGAUGAGCUCUGAAAAUGAUUAGUCUCCCAGUCCCUCACUUGGAUUUGAGAUUAGUGCUUUCAAGAUCAAGGCUGUUGUUUGUUUGACAGGAUCUUACAACAUGACGGAGUUUCAUUUGGCUUCACAGAUCAGUUUUCACUAACGAUGAGGCUGCUAGGAUAAGGGUAAGGCUCCUCCAUCUUGGGUUUUCGUUUCCAGAUUGCUGUGGCUUCGGCAGCCUGGGUGGAGGCGGUGGCGGUUUCAGCUGAAGUGAAGGAAAAUUCGGAAGAGGUGUUGAAAGUCGAUCCUAGGGUACCAUACAUUGUGCUUCUGAAGGGCUUGGUUGAAACCAUGAAGUGGCGAUCGAGAGUGAGAUUUCACUGGGUUGCCUUGCUGCUGUUGCGGCCAUCUGGCUGCAGAGAGAUGAAUUCGUAACUAUUGCAGCGAAUACCUAUUGCAGAUGGACAAGAUUAAUGUCCGGGGAGAAUUCAAAUCCAGUUACGGACGAACUCAUUGCAAACAAACUUCAAGUUCCAGGGAGAAAUGGUCAGUCUCAGAGCAAAUUUACGCCGAAGCAAAAUCCGAGAUAGGGCAGCAGGCAAUCGGUUAAGUUUAAAAUUUGGAAUCCCAACCAGCUCUUCUCAAAUUUCGCCUCAAACACAUGCAGGUUGCUCUGGAGGGCAAGGGAGAAAUGUAGCAGCGCAAUCUAGUUCACAUACUGGAGACUGCGGGGGUGACACACAAAUUACAAAUAGAGCAACCAGAGGACCACUCCAGUUGGAUGGCAAUGAAACCCUACCUUUGGAAUGAGCUCUCUGAUUUCAUGUAAUCAAGCUUAAGCUCUCCCGGUAAUGGUCAUAUAGUUCCAGCUUUUGAAGUCUUCAGGUCUUCAAGGGUUGGCUUUGCUACUUUUUGCAAAACAAGUGCAUCUUCAUGUUGAGUGCCUCUCCUGUUCAUGCUCGAACCCCAACAAUCAGAAACACAAUUCUCUUCUGCACAUUUAACUACUAUUGAAGUUGCCAUCGUAAUGUCAUCAUAUUGGCAAUUUCAUGCUUUGUCGAUCGGCGUUAUCUUUUCUCCAUUUCUGGUGUUAACCCUGUGCUUUGAGAAGUUUUAGCAGGGAUACUGGAGUUCACAAAUACUCUACCUGCAGCUCGCUUGUUCAAAGCUCAAUGGCAGCCAGCACUCUGCACAUCAACACGUGCUCAAUCAGGUGCGUACACCUGAUUCUCGCCUUCCUUAACUGAACCGUGACCAUUACUUGUCGACAGUGUUUUGUGUUUUUUUUAAUUAGUUUGCACGAUUCUUGGCAUGAUUCUUAUCGGCUAGAUGACAAUGUCUAGAUCAGAAGCUCCCCACAACCCGAGAGCCUCUACAGGUGGGUCAUUCUGAACCUCAAUACGGACGCCGUUGUUGAUGCGAGACACAACGUUGUGACUGCAGUGACGGUGUGUUCUUGAAUCUUUUGGAACUUCUUUGAAGCUGAUUUAGUUUCUUAUUAAACAUGUUGUGUAUGUUUUUGGAAGAUGGACUUCCACCAAAAUUUAAAAGGUUUCCAAUCAUAUCAA